rnacentral:snRNA from 1 species
AUCCACGCUCACCGCACC